GUGAGGGGAGCUGAGGCAGGA
rnacentral:miRNA from 1 species